rnacentral:lncRNA from 10 species
CGCAUGCGCGCUGGCGGUGUGGGCUGUGGCCACGGAGUUUGUCUGGUGGUGGAAGGAGGGGGUGGCUGCGCCCGCCAUGCUGGGGCUCGUGUUUUUCUCUUCCGCUUCAGGCUUUGGUGAAAUGGGCUGAGGAAGGGGGAAUUGAACUGAGAGACUCCUUGUCCGUCCCCCAUUUCUUUCUUUUUUUUUUUUUUUUGAGAUGGAGUCUCGCUCUGUCGCCCAGGCUGGAGUGCAGUGGGACAAUUUUAGCUCACUGCAACCUCCGCCUCCCGGGUUCAAGCAAUUCUCCUGCCUCAGCCUCCCGAGUAGCUGGGAUUACAUGCGCCCGCCACCACACCUGGCUAAUUUUUGUAUUUUUAGUAGAGACGGGGUUUCACCACGUUGGCCAGGCCGGUACCGAACUCCCAACCUCAGGCGAUCCACCCGCCUCGGCCUCCCAAAGUGCUGGGAUUACAGGCGUGAGACACAGCGCCUGGCCUGUCCUUUUUAUGUAUUGCCAUAUUUUCUUUUCUUUUCUUUUCUGUGAGAUCCCUGUUGAGUUUUGUUAACAAGGCUAUGCUGAUAUAAUGUGUGGAGAAGUGUUCUCUCUUUUUCUAUUCUUUGAAAGUGCUAGUGUAGGAUUGAUGUUAUUUAUUUUUUAUGUGUUUGGAAGAAGUCACCAGCCAUCUGGACCUAGAGUUUUCUUUGUGGAAAGACUUUAAAUUACAAAUUCUAUUUCUUUUAUAAAAAUACAACUAUUCAGAUGUUCUAUUUUAUUUCUGGGUCUCACUCUGUUACGCAGGCUGGAGUACAGUGGCACAUUCUUGACUGACUGCAACCUCCACCUCCCAGGCUCAAGCGAUCCUCCCACCUUGGAUCUGUGCUGGGAGAGUACUUGUUGGCAUAUGCUGAUGGUCAUCUGCAUGAUUGGACUCUUCCAUAUCUGCUCCAGAAGCUUGAGUGUCUCCACUACAGGAAGAGUCUUUGUCAUUACUGGUUUUAGAAAAGCUGUCCUCAGAGCCACCAUUUUUCUUGAUGCCUUUCACGGUGACAACGGCCAGCACUUGCCCUGAGGACAUCUCUUCAGGAAGCUCUGCUACAAGAAUGGCGAAGCAAUCUUUUUUCUUGGCAUCUCAUUUUGCCCUGUGAAGAGAUAGGGCUGCUUCUGGGGACUUUUCACUGAUCACCAUCCCCGCCAGGUCAUCCUUGAAAUCAUUUACCUGGACUCCCUAGGGUGCCUUCACAUUACAUGGGGCCUCCUUUUCCUUGAUGUUGUUGGCAAAUUCUUUCACUGGAUUAUCUAUGGGAACUUUUUCCUUGGCACAUUUGUCGGCAUUCAGAUCCAGUGGAGCAUCCUCAUGUGAGCUUUCGUUGGUGAGGUCUUCCACCAGGGUAUCCUCCAUGGGAACUUUUUCCUUGGCUCAUUUGUCAGCCUUUAAAUUUAGCAAAACAUCCCCAUCUGAGCUUUUGUUGGCAAGGUCUUCCACCAGGGUAUCCUCCGUGGGAACUUUUCCUUGGUGAAUUCAUCAGCCUUCAAUCCAGUAGAGCGUCCUCAUCUGAGCUUUCAUUGGCAAGGUCUUUCACCAGGGUAUCCUCUGUGGGAACUUUUUCUUUCAUGCGUUUGUCAACCUUCAAGUCCAGUGAGGCAUCCUUAUCUGAGCUUUCGUUUCCAAGGUCUUCCACCAGGGUAUCCUCCAUGGGAACUUUUUCCUUGGCACGUUCUUUGGCCUUCAAAUCCAGUGGGGUGUCCUAAUCUGAAAUUUCAUUGGCGAGGUCUUCCAGAGGAUCCUCCAUGGCACCUUUUUCCUUGGCACAUUCAUUGGCCUUCCAAAGCCAUGGGGCAUUUUCAUCUGAGCUUUCACUGGCUUGGUAUCCUUCCAGGAUAUCUUCCAUGUGAACACUUGCCUGAGUUGCUGAGUCUGUCAAGUGAACAGCAAGAACCUGUUCAGAGGAAGUGUCGCUGGUCUGCUCCCCUGCCAGGUUGUCCUUGAAAUCUUCAGAUGGCUACCUGCCAGGGUGCACAUGAGGAUGACACCUGCGGUGGCACAUUCUCUCUCUAAAACUGCGCUGGCAGACCAUGGAUUCGCCAUGGACAGUGGAGUCUCCUGAAACCUGAGUAUCCACUGCUGCAUCUUGGAGGCAAUACUCUAGCCUUCACGAGCACCCUUCUACUCCAGUCAGGCUGAAGUCUCCCUCGCUGUCACCGCCACAACUGUAGGAGGUGAGCCACAGAGCCGUGCCAUCUGCAAGCUCCAAACUCCACCUCACCACAGGUAAAGGCAAUGGAGAACAAAGGAAAAGAGGAAGUUGCUUGCCAAAAGACUUGGAGAAGUAAUAACAUUUCCAAAUAAGGAAAGGGCAUAAGCUGUGAGCUGGGACAUGCUUGAGCACGUCGAGACCAAAUAUCUUGGUUAACGUACAAGGACACAGAAGGUACUUAUUUCCUUAUAUCUAACAACUACAUAAGAUAUGGUUUAAAAAAGAGUUACUAACACAAAGCAAAGAGGCUUAAAAAAAGUUAAUUAAAAAUAUUAUUUCUAACACUUGUGAUUUAUUAUUUAAUAAAAACUUUAAAGAGAAACUUUUUUACUUUCCACAACCUAGAAGGUGGAGGUUGCUGUGAGCCAAGAUGGCACCACUACACUCCAGUCUGGGUGACAGAGGGAGACUCCAUUUCCAAAAUAAUAAAGUAUGUUUUUUAAAAAAAACUUUUCUGUAGUCUUGAAAUUUUAUUUAUUUAUUUAUUUAUUUAUUUUUUGAGACAGAGUCUCACUCUGUUGCCCAGGCUAGAGUGCAGUGGCAUGAUCUGGGCCCACUUUAGACUCAACCUCCUCGUCUCAAACAAUCCUCCCACCUCAGGCUUCUGGGUAGCUGGAACCACAGCACACACCACCACACCUGGCUACUUUUUUGAUUUUUUUUUUUUUUUUGGAGACAGAGUCUCACUCUGUCCCCCAGGCUGGAGUGCAGUGACAUGAUCUUGGCUCACUGCAACCUCUGCCUCCCGGGUUCAAACAAUUCUUUUACCUCAGCCUCCAGAGUAGCUGGGACUACAGGUGCAGGCUGCCAUGCCCGGCUAAUUUUUCGUAUUUUAGUAGAGACAGGGUUUCACCGUGUUGCCCAGGCUGGUCUCGAACUCCUGAGCUCAGGCAAUCUGCCUGCCUUGGCCUCCCAAAUUGCUAGGAUUACAGGCGUAAGCCAGCAUGCCUGGCCUACUUUUUAAAUUUUUUUGUAGAGAUGAAGACUCCCUCUAUUGCCCAGGGUGAUCUCAAACUCGUGGGCUCAAGUCAUCCUCCUGCCUCAGCCUCCCAAAUUGCUAGGAUUAUAGGUGUAAGCCACUGUGCCUGUCCUGAAAUUUUUAAAAUAAAAUUUUAAAUAAACAUUUUUAAAAUGAAGAUAUUGCAUGGGUGUACGUGGGUAUCAUAUGGAUGUAUCAAGCUCUUUGGGUUUCUUAAAACUUUUCAGGAUUAAAAAUACCCUGAUUUUGCAAAGCACUUCAUAAUUAGAAUCACUUGUAGAAGUUUACCAAAGGUGGCCUGGCCAGGCAUGGUGGCUCACGCCUAUAAUCCCAGCACCUUGGGAGGCCAAGGCAGUUGGAUCACCUGAGGUCAGGAGUUCAAGAGCAGUCUGGCCAACAUGAUGAAACCUUGUCUCUCUAAAAAUAGAAAAAUUAGUCAGGUGUGGUGGCAGUCACCUGUAAUCCCAGCUACACAGGAGGCUGAGGCAGGAGAAUCACUUGAACCUGGGAGAUGGAGGUUGCAGUGAGCUGAGAUCGCACCAUUGCACUCCAGCCUGGGGGACGAGCGAGACUUCGUCUCCAAAAAAAAAAAAAAAAAAGUUUACCAAAGGUGAAAUACACAACGCAUUUAGCAUUCAUACAGCUCUUUGGUAUUAAAAAUCACAUUUUGGGCCAGGCGCAGUAGCUCAUGCCUAUAAUCCCAGCACUUUGGGAGGCCGAGGCAGGUGGAUCAGCUGAGGUCAGGAGUUCGAGACCAGCCUGGCCAACAUGGCCAACAUGGCGAAACCCUGUCUACACUAAAAAUUCAAAAAUUAGCUGGACGUGGUGGCACGUACUUGUAGUCCCAUCUACUUGGGAGGCUAGGGCUGGAGAAUCACUUGAACCUCAGUGGCGGAGGUUGCAGUGAGCUGAGAUUGUGCCAUUGCACUCUAGCCUGGGCAACAGAGCGAAACUCCAUCUCAAAAAAAACAAAAAAAGAAGAAGAAAAUCACAUUUUGGGCCAGGUGUGGUGGCUCAUGUCUAUAAUCCUAGUACUUUGGGAGGCAGAGGCGGGCGGAUUGCCUGAGCUCAGGAGUUCGAGACCAGCCUGGGAAACAUGGCGAAACCCCGUCUCUACUAAAAAUAGAAAAAUUAGCUGGGUGUGGUGGUCCGCGCCUGUAGUUCCAGCUAUUCCGGAGGCUGAGGUGGGAGGAUCAUUUGAGUCUGGGAGUUGGAGGUUGCAGUGAGCUGAGAUUGUGCCACUGUACUCCAGCCUGGAUAACAGAGCAAGACUCCAUUCUCAAAAAAAAAAACCAAAAAAACAAACAAAAAAAACCCCAAAAAUCAAAACCACAAUAACAACAAAAACAUUUUGGAGUUUAUAAUGGAGAGGUUUACCAACCACUUUGGGAUAGAUUGAAAAAUACUCUGAAGUUUGCAGAGCACUUACUUUGAGACAAAAACACAAUUUGGGGUUUAUGAGGGUGAAGCUUUCCAAGCACUUAGAAUUAAAAACCCUUCUUGGUUUAUAAAACAUUUUGGUGCUCAUAGAAACACUUUGAUUGACUAUUAUGUAGUUAAAAAAAAAAAAGAAAACCACUUUGAUACAAAACCCUCUAGGGUCUACUAAACCCUUGCAGAUGUAUUCUGAGGUCAAAAAUCUCAUUUCUGACAGUUGGAUUGCCCCACUUGAGAGAUGGCAAAACUGAGGCUCAGAAGGAGGAAGUUCCACACAGAGGAGUAAGAGGGUCAGUUCCUCUUCUUGUCCUCCUAAACUACAGAAAAUGUUAGGGCCUCACCAGGCAUGGUGGCUCAUGCCUGUAAUCCCAGCACUUUGGAAGGCCAAGAUGGGCAGAUCACUUGAGGUCAGGAGUUCAAGACCAGCCUGACCAACAUGGAGAAACCCUGUCUCUACUAAAAAAAUACAAAAAAUUAGCCGGGCGUGGUGGCAGGUGCCUGUAAUCCCAGCUACCAAGGAGCUUGAGGCAGGAGAAUUGCCUGAACUUCGGAGGCGGAGGUUGCAGUGAGCCAAGAUCGUGCCACUGCACUCCAGCCUGGGUGACAGAGUGAGACUCUUCUUUAAAAAAGAAAAAAAGAAAAUGUUUGGGCCUGGACACUUUGACGGCGGGGCACGUCCUAACCUUCAAAUCACCCUCGAAGCUCCCCUCCGCUGGUUGAAUGGAUGCCACCACAUUCUCGGAGAUCAGCACCUCUCCUGUCUUGUUGUCGGUCAUCUGUGAGGAUCCGAUGAGAGAGUGAGAGCAAACCUGCUUUCCUCCUCCGCCCUCCUUCCCUCCCAACAGAUACUGCAGCACGAGGGAUGGCGGGAUGGAGGGAUCCCAAGGGGACUUCAGGAAGGGCUUCCCUGCAUAGGCACCUUGUCGAUCUGGAGGUGGCUGGAGAGGGUGUUGUUCCCCAGCUGGUG